CAGCAGCCGCGGGAAUACGAAGGGUGCAAGCGUUACUCGGAAUUACUGGGCGUAAAGCGUGCGUAGGUGGUGGUUUAAGUCCGUUGUGAAAGCCCUGGGCUCAACCUGGGAAUUGCAGUGGAUACUGGGUCACUAGAGUGUGGUAGAGGAUAGUGGAAUUUCCGGUGUAGCAGUGAAAUGCGUAGAGAUCGGAAGGAACAUCUGUGGCGAAGGCGACUAUCUGGGCCAACACUGACACUGAGGCACAAAAGCGUGGGGAGCAAACAGGAUUAGAUACCCGUGUAGUCCCUGUCUCUUAUAC
rnacentral:rRNA from 1 species